rnacentral:siRNA from 1 species
AAGGGUACCACUACAAUGGGAAUC